rnacentral:lncRNA from 1 species
AAAGCAACAAAGGGAGCUCAAGUGGAGACUUCCUCAGCAAAAGCAUUGCACUGCUUAAAUGAUUCAGCUUUUGAGUGAAAUGAAAGGCGGGACUAAGACCAGGAAGAACCACGACCUACCCUACUCCGGAGUACGGACCCCAGGAGGACUAACAGCCUCUGGGCUCUCGAACAGCACAGAGUGUAAGGGGUUCGGGAGGAGGGAUGAAGGCCAUCCUCACCAGACGACUGUCAACAUCCCAGAAAAUGUCCACAUCACUCUAAAAGGAUGCGCUGUUAUUGGGAAGGGCCCCAGAGGGAUCCCGUGAAGGGUCUUGAAUCAUGUCAGUGUAGAACUCAGUCUCUUUGGAAAGGAAAGAAGAGGCUCCAAGGUGACAAUUGGUGGGGGGUAAGGAAAGACCUGGCCGCCGUUCACGCUCUCGUAGUCACCUGCAGACCAUGAUCCAGGGGGUUACACUGGGCUUCUGUUAUAAGAGGAGGUCAGCCUAUGCUCACUUCCCCAGCAGUGCUGUUACCCAGGAGAAUGGUUCUCAUGGUGAAAUCCAAAAUUUUAUGGGGGGAAAAAUACAUCUGCAGGCUGUGGAUGAGGCCAGGUGUUGCUUGUUCAGUAUCUUGAGCUCAGAAUGAUAAUGAGUUAAUUCUUCAAGGAAAUGAUACUGAACUUGUAUCAAACUUAGCUGCUUUGGUUCAGCAAGCCCCAACAGUUAAAAAUAAGGGUAUCAGAAAAUUUUUGGAUGGUAUCUAUGUUUCUGAAAAAAGGAACAGUUCAGCAGGCUGAAAUAAGAUCUAAGUUGUUCAGCUACAGAAACAGCAAGAUGCUGGAUGAUUCUUCAGACUUAUUUGUGAAUAUUUUUAAGAUGCAAUAAAAGCUCUAUCGAUUUGGGGCCUUUUUCUUUU